ensembl:lncRNA
CACAAUCUGGAAAUUCUUGUCUUCUCUCCCUUUCUUCUUUGUCCUCUGACAUAUUUGGGAGCGACAAGGUAGAGGGUUAGGGAGGGGUGACGUGGUAGGGCGGAGGUAGAGGGCUAGGGAGGGGUGACGUGGUAGGGUGGAGGUAGAGGGCUAGAGGGAGGGGUGACGUGGUAGGGUGGAGGUAGAGGGUUAGGGAGGGGUGACGUGGUAGGGUGGAGGUAGAGGGCUAGAGGGAGGGGUGACGUGGUAGGGUGGAGGUAGAGGGUUAGGGAGGGGUGACGUGGUAGGGUGGAGGUAGAGGGCUAGAGGGAGGGGUGACGUGGUAGGGUGGAGGUAGAGGGUUAGGGUGGGGUGACGUGGUAGGGCGGAGGUAGAGGGCUAGAGGGAGGGGUGAGGUGGUAGGGCGGAGGUAGAGGGUUAGGGAGGGGUGACGUGGUAGGGCGGAGGUAGAGGGCUAGAGGGAGGGGUGACGUGGUAGGGUGGAGGUAGAGGGUUAGGGAGGGGUGACGUGGUAGGGCGGAGGUAGAGGGCUAGAGGGAAGGGUGACGUGGUAGGGACGGAGGUAGAGGGCUAGAGGGAGGGGUGACGUGGUAGGGACGGAGGUAGAGGGCUAGAGGGAGGGGUGACGUGGUAGGGACGGAGGUAGAGGGCUAGAGGGAGGGGUGACGUGGUAGGGACGGAGGUAGAGGGCUAGAGGGAGAGGAAGGAAUAAAGGAUUGGAUGAGAAUGUCAGGCGAUUAUAACAUUUACAUGUCUUUAGAACUGAUAUCUGUUUUGUUACCAUAGUAACCAUGCAGAGCCAAAUUCAGUCUCCUCUCAUGGUUUCUUCUGGGAUGGGGGACAACUGGUCUGUCCAGAAGAACACAACAUUAUUAUGUUCACAACAAACCCACAGGGAGCAACAGGUUGUCAGUUGGUAGAGAUGUCUGAUUGACAUUCUCCCAGCACUGUGUUUACCCCCGUCUGUUACCUGUCUGUACACUGGUACCCCCAUCUGUUACCUGUCUGUACACUGUCUGGUACCCCUGACAGUCUGUUACCUGUCUGUACACUGUC